GAUGAACGCUGGCGGCGUGCCUAAUACAUGCAAGUCGAGCGAACGGACGAGAAGCUUGCUUCUCUGAUGUUAGCGGCGGACGGGUGAGUAACACGUGGAUAACCUACCUAUAAGACUGGGAUAACUUCGGGAAACCGGAGCUAAUACCGGAUAAUAUUUUGAACCGCAUGGUUCAAAAGUGAAAGACGGUCUUGCUGUCACUUAUAGAUGGAUCCGCGCUGCAUUAGCUAGUUGGUAAGGUAACGGCUUACCAAGGCAACGAUGCAUAGCCGACCUGAGAGGGUGAUCGGCCACACUGGAACUGAGACACGGUCCUGAGUACUACGGGAGGCAGCAGUAGGGAAUCUUCCGCAAUGGGCGAAAGCCUGACGGAGCAACGCCGCGUGAGUGAUGGAGGUCUUCGGAUCGUAAAACUCUGUUAUUAGGGAAGAACAUAUGUGUAAGUAACUGUGCACAUCUUGACGGUACCUAAUCAGAAAGCCACGGCUAACUACGUG
rnacentral:rRNA from 1 species